GACGAACGCUGGCGGCGUGCUUAACACAUGCAAGUCGAACGGAAAGGCCCUGCUUUUGUGGGGUGCUCGAGUGGCGAACGGGUGAGUAACACGUGAGUAACCUGCCCUUGACUUUGGGAUAACUUCAGGAAACUGGGGCUAAUACCGGAUAGGAGCUCCUGCUGCAUGGUGGGGGUUGGAAAGUUUCGGCGGUUGGGGAUGGACUCGCGGCUUAUCAGCUUGUUGGUGGGGUAGUGGCUUACCAAGGCUUUGACGGGUAGCCGGCCUGAGAGGGUGACCGGCCACAUUGGGAAUGAGAUACGGCCCAGACUCCUACGGGAAGCAGCAGUGGGGAAUAUUGCACAAGGGGUGGAAGCCUGAUGCAGCAACGCCGCGGGCGGGAGGACGGCCUUCGGGUUGUAAACCGCUUUCGCCUGUGACGAAGCGUGAGUGACGGUAAUGGGUAAAGAAGCACCGGCUAACUACGUG
rnacentral:rRNA from 1 species